rnacentral:rRNA from 1 species
UCUGGUUGAUCCUGCCAGUAGUCAUAUGCUUGUCUCAAAGAUUAAGCCAUGCAUGCGUCAGCAUAAUGUCUGAGGAAAUGAAUCUGCGAUUGGCUCAUUAAAACAGUGGUAAAUUACUUGGAGAUCCUUUCUACACGGAUAGUCGUAGCAAUUCUAGAACUAAUACGUGUGCCAAUGCCGAACUUCGUGGAUAGGUUUUUCUUAUUAGUUGCAGAAUCGAUACAGGCUCUACCUGGUUUACUUGUGGUUCGUAAUAAGUGGGUGAUUGCAUGGCUAAGGCUGGUAAUGACUCAUUCAAGCCUCUGACCUAUCAGCUUGUGAUGGUAGGGUCUUGGCCUACCCUGGCAUUGACGGGUAACGGAUAAUUAGGGUUUGAUUCCGGAGAGGGAGCCUGAGAAACGGCUACCACUUCUACGGAAGGCAGCAGGCACGCAAAUUACCCACUGGGCGAAGCCCGAGGUAGUGACGAAAAAUAACGAUACCGGUCUCAUCCGAGGCCCGGUAAUCGGAAUGAGUACACUUUAAAUCCUUUAACGAGGAACAAUUGGAGGGCAAGUGGU